rnacentral:lncRNA from 1 species
AGAGUUAAAACAUGUGAAACUGGCAGCUCCCACUACCGUGCUAUGACCAAGCAGGGUAAAGGAAUAGCAUUACUACUUGUUGUUAGGGAGACUCCUAUAUAUGUCGACCUCCAUCCCCAACGGACAGGCAGACCUGCAAAAAUGCUCAACCCUUCAUCAUAUCUGAGAGGGCAUUCCCAACGAAGCCUUUCGAAAUAUUCAGCUUUCUUUCCCCCCGAUAAUACCUCUGCAAACAAGCUAUACUAGAGCAAGAAUAUCUCAUAUCAUCAGGGUUAAAAGCAAGAGUAUCCCAUAUCAUGCUUUUUCCCUGUCUUUUCUUUUGGCCUUGUUUUUACCUGCAAGACAAGGAGAAAGAGAGCAAUCAGUC